GCCAGGCGCAGUGGUGCACACCUGUAAUCCCAAUGGCUUGGGAGGCAGAGGUGGGAGGAUCGUGAGUUCAAGCCAGUCUCAGUAACUUAAUGAGGCCUUAAGCAACUCGGUGAGAUCCUGUCUCUA
rnacentral:sRNA from 1 species